rnacentral:ribozyme from 13 species
AAAGCAUUAAAAAGAUCGGCAUGAGAAGGAAAAAUAGGUUUCCCACUUUUUUCUUCCUGUUUCAGAAAUUUCUCCAAAUUUUUCAUGUAAGGUUUCUGGAACUCUCCUUUCAACAAAUCACGCCAUUCCUCUGAGGUAAGAUAUUGAAAAAGGGAAGAGGAAGGGACAGAAG